UGAACGCUAGCUACAGGCUUAACACAUGCAAGUCGAGGGGCAGCAUGGUCUUAGCUUGCUAAGGCCGAUGGCGACCGGCGCACGGGUGAGUAACACGUAUCCAACCUGCCGUCUACUCUUGGACAGCCUUCUGAAAGGAAGAUUAAUACAAGAUGGCAUCAUGAGUCCGCAUGUUCACAUGAUUAAAGGUAUUCCGGUAGACGAUGGGGAUGCGUUCCAUUAGAUAGUAGGCGGGGUAACGGCCCACCUAGUCUUCGAUGGAUAGGGGUUCUGAGAGGAAGGUCCCCCACAUUGGAACUGAGACACGGUCCAAACUCCUACGGGAGGCAGCAGUGAGGAAUAUUGGUCAAUGGGCGAGAGCCUGAACCAGCCAAGUAGCGUGAAGGAUGACUGCCCUAUGGGUUGUAAACUUCUUUUAUAAAGGAAUAAAGUCGGGUAUGGAUACCCGUUUGCAUGUACUUUAUGAAUAAGGAUCGGCUAACUCCGUG
rnacentral:rRNA from 1 species